ACAAAAGCUUUGUGAUCCGGUUCCGUGAUGUACAACUGAAAAGGCCACAGAUUACGUUCCUUAUUAACCCAUUUAAUGCAGAGACGGACUGCUUGAAAGCCCCGUGGCUGAGUUGGAGAUGAUUGAUCUUUGUGAGGAGGACCAAAUGAAACCUGCUUUAAGGGAAUGGACCAAUGCCAAUGGAAAAAAUACCAUAAAGUCAAACGGGCUGCGCUAAAUAUACUGUCAAUGUUUGGGUUAACAUACAGCAGGUGAAAUAAGUAUUGAGUAUUAUAUUAAGGAGCUGUUGACAUGAAAUUUUUACCAGAUGUUGGUAACAACCCAAGUAAUACAUACAUACAUACAUAUAAAGAAACCAAAAGAGUCAAAAGUUCAGAAAUAAAGUUAUGUGUAAUAAUUACAUUACAUUACAUGUUAUUUAGCUGACUCUUUUACCCAAAGCGACUUACAUUGCAUUAUAACCCGUGGAUUACAUUUUUGCCUGGGGAGAAAUUAGGGGUAAGGCGCGCGAUGUUAGUGUCACGUCACCUGUUAGUUGUGUUUGGCUGCAUUGUUUACUAGUUGCAUAUCACAGAUGUAACAUUACUCAACUAAUAAAUGAGGAUCUUAUUAAAGUCAGUCAAAUGUAAGCACAUUAAUGCCUCAAUGAUUAGGAUAAUGUAUAAUAUAUAUUGCAUCGCGGCUACUUUUGUUUUUAAUCCUCAUGGUUUAUUUUCAUGCUCACUUUUUUGUCUGUAGACUUUGAUUAAGUAACAAGUAAGUUACUUGAAUGAAGGAUUUCUACUUAUAAAUACAGUAUUUACAGCAGGUUGUGGUGUUGAUAGAUAUUCUUACUGUAGUACAAUAUCUGCAUCUGUGUGGAAAUGAGAGAACAGACAGGCAAACAUGGUUAUGUUGUUUAUUACAUAGUUUAAUGGUCAGAAGGUGAACUUUACAUCACACUUCAAUACACUUAUUAACAUGUCAUGCUCUUCAUAGUGACAGAUUAAUCUGGGACAGCAGGGAUGACGGCUCUGCACCCUUCAUCCUGAAGAAGAGCUGUCCUCCAGUGAAGGAUGAAGAGCAGGAGCUGGGGAGGCCCAUGUUGACCAUCUUUCCUUCAAAGCAUCAAGUGCAGAGCUAUGCCACGUUGUCCGUCUCUGCCCCUGCUGUCCUCACCAACUGGACCUUUGUAGACAGGAAGCACUUCCUGCUUUAUAAACACAGUGAGCAGAAGGACAUGCUGAAGGAGACAGGACUUACAAUACUCUGUAGUCAACAUGGAAUGUCCCUGUUGUGUUUAAUAAAUACAUCUAAUUCA